rnacentral:rRNA from 1 species
GGAAUCUGGGAGGACCAUCUCCUAAGGCUAAAUACUCUCUAGUGACCGAUAGUGAACCAGUACCGUGAGGGAAAGGUGAAAAGCACCCCGGAAGGGGAGUGAAAUAGAACCUGAAACCGUGUGCUUACAAGUAGUCAGAGCCCGUUAAUGGGUGAUGGCGUGCCUUUUGUAGAAUGAACCGGCGAGUUACGAUUUGAUGCAAGGUUAAGCAGUAAAUGUGGAGCCGUAGCGAAAGCGAGUCUGAAUAGGGCGUUUAGUAUUUGGUCGUAGACCCGAAACCAGGUGAUCUACCCUUGGUCAGGUUGAAGUUCAGGUAACACUGAAUGGAGGACCGAACCGACUUACGUUGAAAAGUGAGCGGAUGAACUGAGGGUAGCGGAGAAAUUCCAAUCGAACCUGGAGAUAGCUGGUUCUCUCCGAAAUAGCUUUAGGGCUAGCCUCAAGUGAUGAUUAUUGGAGGUAGAGCACUGUUUGGACGAGGGGCCCCUCUCGGGUUACCGAAUUCAGACAAACUCCGAAUGCCAAUUAAUUUAACUUGGGAGUCAGAACAUGGGUGAUAAGGUCCGUGUUCGAAAGGGAAACAGCCCAGACCACCAGCUAAGGUCCCAAAAUAUAUGUUAAGUGGAAAAGGAUGUGGCGUUGCCCAGACAACUAGGAUGUUGGCUUAGAAGCAGCCAUCAUUUAAAGAGUGCGUAAUAGCUCACUAGUCGAGUGACACUGCGCCGAAAAUGUACCGGGGCUAAACAUAUUACCGAAGCUGUGGAUUGUCCUUUGGACAAUGGUAGGAGAGCGUUCUAAGGGCGUUGAAGCAUGAUCGUAAGGACAUGUGGAGCGCUUAGAAGUGAGAAUGCCGGUGUGAGUAGCGAAAGACGGGUGAGAAUCCCGUCCACCGAUUGACUAAGGUUUCCAGAGGAAGGCUCGUCCGCUCUGGGUUAGUCGGGUCCUAAGCUGAGGCCGACAGGCGUAGGCGAUGGAUAACAGGUUGAUAUUCCUGUACCACCUAUAAUCGUUUUAAUCGAUGGGGGGACGCAGUAGGAUAGGCGAAGCGUGCGAUUGGAUUGCACGUCUAAGCAGUAAGGCUGAGUAUUAGGCAAAUCCGGUACUC